GAGGGUUUGAUCCUGGCUCAGAUUGAACGCUGGCGGCAGGCCUAACACAUGCAAGUCGAGCGGAUGAAGGGAGCUUGCUCCUGGAUUCAGCGGCGGACGGGUGAGUAAUGCCUAGGAAUCUGCCUGGUAGUGGGGGAUAACGUCCGGAAACGGGCGCUAAUACCGCAUACGUCCUGAGGGAGAAAGUGGGGGAUCUUCGGACCUCACGCUAUCAGAUGAGCCUAGGUCGGAUUAGCUAGUUGGUGGGGUAAAGGCCUACCAAGGCGACGAUCCGUAACUGGUCUGAGAGGAUGAUCAGUCACACUGGAACUGAGACACGGUCCAGACUCCUACGGGAGGCAG
rnacentral:rRNA from 1 species